GUGAGGCUAGUGAUCUGAUGCUCCUGAAGAGUGUGAGAGUGUGUCACAGAGGAGAGGUAGAGAGACAGUGAGAGUGAGAGUAUGUGAGUGAGUUAGUGAGAGAAAGAGAGAGGGAAAGAAAGUGAAACAAAAUAGAAAAAGGGCAAAAAAGCUAGUGGAAGCACCAGGACACAAGCAACGCCACUGCCUGUUGAGACGAAAACGCAUCAGGGCAUCCGAGGUUCAGCAGAGAGAUGGGAGCCAUUUCCACUGUCUUAUCAGUAUGCUCUUUAACUUGCCAGAAGUCUCAAGAUCACACAGGUGAGUGUGUGCUGAGAUCUGAAGGGGAACAGGACGUGAGAAGCAGAAGGAUGCUCUGGUAGGGCGGGUCAGCUGGUGUUGUGAAUCAGGCCGCCGUAGUGAGAGGGAACGGCUUCUUCAUAACACCAGGGUCACACCCUACCGCACUCAGCCGCAGAACACCACCACACCAUCCCACACACACGUCUCUCCAAACUUAUGCAUGUAUGUAACACUCAAAUAAAUACUAAUAAAUUGAAAAUAAAUAAAAAUAUGGUCAAAUGUAAGAAGAGUGUGCUGUUUAAUUGACAUGAUGGUUAAAAGAAAGCUUGGACACUGACUUCUCUGUGAACUCCAGACUCCAGUAUUGAAUUGUUGACAAAUAUAAUUUACUUGAAAGCAAAGGGGGACCUAUUUAAUAUAAUUUUCAUGUUAUGGCUGUUACGGUAUGUAUAUAUAUAUAUAUAUAUAUAUCUCCAGUCAGUAUUGUGUUUGUCUUGUGUCUAUAUCCUAUAUUUGUAUUGUUUGUAUUUAUUGUGUUCUAACUACUAAAAAGGACUAUCAACUCACUUUUACACCUGCUGUUAGUUUGAUGUGCCAAUAAACCUGAUUUACUUUGAUUUAAUUUAUUAAGAUUUUAUCAUAGCUCAAUUUGAAGCAUUUCUAUUGGUCCAAUCAUUCAGGAUGGAAUUAAGAAAGUGGCGUCAAGAUCAAGAUACAAUAUUCCUCAUUUUGUUUAAGCAAAUAAAGACUUUGGGUAUCUUUCCAGACAGGAAUUAAGCCUAAUCAUUGACUAGGGUUUUUUUUUCAAUAUGAAAUCUCCAUUCAAAGCUGUGUAAUACAAGACUAAGCUUAGUCCCUCUAUUGGUAAAUGCAGUUUAAUGCCCAGAUUAGGUAUCUAACUAAUGAGAAUCAUCUUAACCUGAACUAAGCAACUGAGGGCCAAAGUUCAGUCCAGUUUACUGAUUUCUGUAUCUAAUACAACUAAAUAACCGGGUAAUUAACUGCUAAGAUAAAUCAAAUGUGUUUGAACAUGAAAAUUAUUAAACUGCUAAAAGAUCUGGCCCUCAUCUCUGCUGAAAUAAAUAUAUGCUUUAGUAAAUAAAAACAUGAGAGUGUUUGUUGGAGGAUCAUUAUGUUGGUUUAAUACUGUAUGAUACAUAGACAUAAAUACUGUGCUGCUUUCUGCCAUAGGACGAAUUCAAGGUUGAUAUGAUCCUGCCAAUUUCCUGCAUUACUGGAGUUUUUGGGAGGCUGCAGGAUGGUUACACACCUUGUACUGUAAUAUAGUUAACACAUUCGUGCAACUGUAGAAGAGCUGAUUUAUCAGUAUUACCUGAUAAUUGCCUAUCAAAUACAACAUGUCUACACAAGCAUUGACUUCUGCCAUCAGAACAGCAUUUCUGCCUGUUCAUGAAUUACUUAGUGUUUGUGUGUAUGUGCAGUUGAUGAAAUAAAAUGAGACAAUAA